GACGGGGCCCGCACAAGCGGAGGAGCAUGUGGUUUAAUUCGAUGAUACGCGAGGAACCUUACCUGGGCUCGAACGUAAGAUGACUGUAGGUGAAAGCUUACAUCUCUUCGGAGCAUUUUACGAGGUGCUGCAUGGUUGUCGUCAGCUCGUGCCGUGAGGUGUCGGGUUAAGUCCCAUAACGAGCGCAACCCCUGCAUUCAGUUGCCAUCGGGUAAUGCCGGGCACUCUGGAAGGACUGCCAUCGACAAGAUGGAGGAAGGUGGGGAUGACGUCAAGUCAUCAUGGCCCUUAUGUCCAGGGCGACACACGUGCUACAAUGGCCGGCACAACGGGAAGCGAGUUCGCGAGGACAAGCGGAUCCCUUAAAGCCGGUCGCAGUUCGGAUUGAAGUCUGCAACUCGACUUCAUGAAGCUGGAAUCGCUAGUAAUCGUGGAUCAGCCAAGCCGCGGUGAAUACGUUCCCGGGCCUU
rnacentral:rRNA from 1 species